CUACGGGGGGCACCAGUGGGGAAUAUUGCACAAUGGACGAAAGUCUGAUGCAGCAACGCCGCGUGGAGGAUGACACAUUUCGGUGCGUAAACUCCUUUUAUAUAAGAAGAUAAUGACGGUAUUAUAUGAAUAAGCACCGGCUAACUCCGUGCCAGCAGCCGCGGCAAUACGGAGGGUGCAAGCGUUACUCGGAAUCACUGGGCGUAAAGAGCGUGUAGGCGGAUAGAUAAGUUGGAAGUGAAAUCCUAUGGCUCAACCAUAGAACUGCUUCCAAAACUGUCUAUCUAGAAUAUGGGAGAGGUAGAUGGAAUUUCUGGUGUAGGGGUAAAAUCCGUAGAGAUCAGAAGGAAUACCGAUUGCGAAGGCGAUCUACUGGAACAUUAUUGACGCUGAGACGCGAAAGCGUGGGGAGCAAACAGGAUUAGAUACCCCAGUAGUC
rnacentral:rRNA from 1 species